CACCAGACUCCUACGGGAGGCAGCAGUGGGGGAUAUUGCACAAUGGGGGGAACCCUGAUGCAGCGACGCCGCGUGGGUGAAGGAGUGCUUCGGCAUGUAAAGCCCUAUCGGCAGGGAAGAAGCAAGACGGUACCUGACUAAGAAGCCCCGGCUAACUACGUGCCAGCAGCCGCGGUAAUACGUAGGGGGCGAGCGUUAUCCGGAUUCACUGGGUGUAAAGGGAGCGUAGACGGCAGGGCAAGCCAGAAGUGAAAACGCAGAGCUUAACUUUGCGACUGCUUUUGGAACUGCCCAGCUAGAGUACAGGAGAGGUAAGUGGAAUUCCUAGUGUAGCGGUGAAAUGCGUAGAUAUUAGGAGGAACACCAGUGGCGAAGGCGGCUUACUGGACUGAGACUGACGUUGAGGCUCGAAAGCGUGGGGAGCAAACAGGAUUAGAUACCCGCGUA
rnacentral:rRNA from 1 species